rnacentral:rRNA from 1 species
CAGGCCUAACACAUGCAAGUCGAACGGAGCUUGAACGAGCGUCUUCGGACAAUCGAUCAAACUUAGUGGCGGACGGGUGAGUAACGCGUGAGCAACCGGUCCUGAAGAGGGGGACAACAUUGAGAAAUCAAUGCUAAUACCGCGUAAGACCACACUGCGGCAUCGCAGAGGGGUCAAAGGAGAGAUCCGCUUCAGGGAGGGCUCGCGUCCCAUUAGGUAGUUGGUGACGGUAACGGCGCACCAAGCCGACGAUGGGUAGCCGUGCUGAGAGGCAGAACGGCCACACUGGAACUGAGACACGGUCCAGACUCCUACGGGAGGCAGCAGUGGGGAAUCUUGGGCAAUGGGGGGAACCCUGACCCAGCGACGCCGCGUGGAGGAAGAAGGUCUUCGGAUUGUAAACUUCUGUGACAGGGGACGAAGGAAGUGACGGUACCCUGUAAGGAAGCCCCGGCUAACUACGUGCCAGCAGCCGCGGUAAUACGUAGGGGGCGAGCGUUGUCCGGAAUUACUGGGUGUAAAGGGCGCGUAGGCGGGAUUGCAAGUCAGAUGUGAAAUCUCCGGGCUCAACCCGGAAAUUGCAUUUGAAACUGUAGUUCUUGAGUAUCGGAGAGGCAAGCGGAAUUCCUAGUGUAGCGGUGAAAUGCGUAGAUAUUAGGAGGAACACCAGUGGCGAAGGCGGCUUGCUGGACGACAACUGACGCUGAGGCGCGAAAGCGUGGGGAGCAAACAGGAUUAGAUACCCUGGUAGUCCACGCCCUAAACGAUGAAUACUAGGUGUGGGGGGACUGACCCCCUCCGUGCCGGAGUUAACACAAUAAGUAUUCCACCUGGGGAGUACGGCCGCAAGGUUGAAACUCAAAGGAAUUGACGGGGGCCCGCACAAGCAGUGGAUUAUGUGGUUUAAUUCGACGCAACGCGAAGAACCUUACCAGGGCUUGACAUCCAACUAACGAGGCAGAGAUGCAUUAGGUGCCCUUCGGGGAAAGUUGAGACAGGUGGUGCAUGGUUGUCGUCAGCUCGUGUCGUGAGAUGUUGGGUUAAGUCCCGCAACGAGCGCAACCCUUAUUGCUAGUUGCUACGCAAGAGCACUCUAGCGAGACUGCCGUUGACAAAACGGAGGAAGGCGGGGACGACGUCAAAUCAUCAUGCCCCUUAUGUCCUGGGCUACACACGUAAUACAAUGGCGAUCAACAAAGGGAAGCGAAGCCGUAAGGCAGAGCAAAUCCCCAAAAGUCGUCUCAGUUCGGAUCGUGGGCUGCAACCCGCCCACGUGAAGUCGGAAUUGCUAGWAAWSGCGGAUCAGCAUGUCGCGGUGAAUACGUUCCCGG